rnacentral:rRNA from 1 species
GUCCACGCCCUAAACGAUGUCGACUGGUUGUUGGGGGUUUGACACUCUCAGUAACCGAAGCUAACGCGUGAAGUCGACCGCCUGGGGAGUACGGCCCGCAAGGUUAAAACUCAAAGGAAUUGACGGGGACCCGCACAAGCGGUGGAUUAUGUGGAUUAAUUCGAUGCAACGCGAAAAAACCUUACCUACCCUUGACAUGUCCGAGAGCCUGGAGAGAUCCAGGUGUGCCCGAAAGGGAAUCGGAACACAGGUGCUGCAUGGCUGUCGU